CAGCUCCCGUCCUCAAGAGAUUCUAGAAAGAAAAUAUACAUGUGUCUUGUAUCAGAGUUGUACUUUUACUUUGUUUUUGCAUUAUGUUUUUCAGGUUCAAAUAACAUCAAGGGCCUCCCACCACCACUAUACCCCAAACCAGGGCCUCUACCCUGCCCAUUCCGGGGGAUAGCAGUCUAUCGUGUUCCUGUCUGUUCUCCAGACCUCACUUCCAAUUUCUGCCAACAGAAUAUAUUGAGAGGACACCAGCAACGAUGGAUGGCAAUACCUUCUGUCUUUAUCACUGGAAUAGAGGGAAAAUAAAGUCAUAUCUCAGAAAAUGUACGGUAAGAAUAGCUAUAAUUGUCCAUUCCAUAUUUGCUUGUUGAGAAAACGAGGAGUGAUUUUUAUACUUGUCUGAAAACAUAAAUUAGGACUUGCUUAUCCAUUUAGUCAUUUCCAAAUGAGACAUGAAAAUAUGGACUCAUGCAUUACUACCGUCCAAACAUGGUACUUUUGCGC
rnacentral:lncRNA from 12 species